UGCCUGGAAGAUGAUGAGGUGAUCGCCUACAUGCUGCGAGGGCUGGGGCCAGAGUAUGAUCCCCUCGUGACAAGCCUUACCACGCGAACCGACGUCAUCACCAUCAACGACGUCUACGCUCACAUGCUCAGCUAUGAGC